AAGGUAGGGGAAAGGAGACAAGUUUAACACUCCCCAUGAUAAAGAUGGAAAGGCUCGAGUGGCCUUAAAACACAGAGGUGUUAAAGCAUUGCUAUCUACUUAAUGGCAUCCAACUAUGUUUAAGU